CCUACGGGGUGCAGCAGUGAGGAAUAUUGGUCAAUGGGCGGGAGCCUGAACCAGCCAAGUCGCGUGAGGGAAGACGGUCCUACGGAUUGUAAACCUCUUUUGCCGGGGAGCAACGGGGUCCUUGCGAGGUCCCAAUGAGAGUACCCGGAGAAAAAGCAUCGGCUAACUCCGUGCCAGCAGCCGCGGUAAUACGGAGGAUGCGAGCGUUAUCCGGAUUUAUUGGGUUUAAAGGGAGCGUAGAUGGGUUGUUAAGUCAGUUGUGAAAGUUUGCGGCUCAACCGUAAAAUUGCAAUUGAUACUGGCAGGCUUGAGUACAGUUGAGGUAGGCGGAAUUCGUGGUGUAGCGGUGAAAUGCUUAGAUAUCACGAAGAACUCCGAUUGCGAAGGCAGCUUACUAAACUGCCACUGACAUUGAUGCUCGAAAGUGUGGGUAUCAAACAGGAUUAGAUACCCCAGUAGUC
rnacentral:rRNA from 1 species